ACUCAAAUGAAUAGACGGGGGCCCGCACAAGCAGUGGAUUAUGUGGUUUAAUUCGAAGCAACGCGAAGAACCUUACCAGGGUUUGACAUCCAACUAACGAAGCAGAGAUGCAUUAGGUGCCCUUCGGGGAAAGUUGAGACAGGUGGUGCAUGGUUGUCGUCAGCUCGUGUCGUGAGAUGUUGGGUUAAGUCCCGCAACGAGCGCAACCCUUAUUGCUAGUUGCUACGCAAGAGCACUCUAGCGAGACUGCCGUUGACAAAACGGAGGAAGGUGGGGACGACGUCAAAUCAUCAUGCCCCUUAUAUCCUGGGCUACACACGUAAUACAAUGACAUUUAACAGAGGGAAGCUAAGCCGCGAGGUGGAGCAAAUCCCUAAAAGGUGUCUCAGUUCGGAUUGCAGGCUGCAACUCGCCUGCAUGAAGUCGGAAUUGCUAGUAAUCGCGGAUCAGCAUGCCGCGGUGAAUACGUUCCCGGGCCUUGUACACACCGCCCGU
rnacentral:rRNA from 1 species